ACUCCUACGGGAGGCAGCAGUGAGGAAUAUUGGACAAUGGGCGAAAGCCUGAUCCAGCCAUGCCGCGUGAAGGAUGAAUGCCCUAUGGGUUGUAAACUUCUUUUAUACAGGAAGAAACCUUUGGAUUUAUCCAGAGCUGACAUUACUGUACGAAUAAGCAUCGGCUAACUCCGUGCCAGCAGCCGCGGUAAUACGGAGGAUGCAAGCGUUAUCCGGAUUUAUUGGGUUUAAAGGGUCCGUAGGCGGAUUUUUAAGUCAGUGGUGAAAGCCUACAGCUCAACUGUAGAACUGCCAUUGAUACUGAAGAUCUUGAAUAUAUAUGAAGUGGGCGGAAUGCGUCAUGUAGCGGUGAAAUGCACAGAUAUGACGCAGAACACCAAUUGCGAAGGCAGCUCACUAAUGUAUUAUUGACGCUGAGGGACGAAAGCAUGGGGAGCGAACAGGAUUAGAUACCCUGGUAGGAUAG
rnacentral:rRNA from 1 species